rnacentral:rRNA from 1 species
ACGAGAAUCUAUGGAUCGAGGAUUCGUCCAAGUGAAGUAGAGGACAGUGGCGGACGGGUGAGUAACGCGUGAGGAACCUGCCUUCCAGAGGGGGACAACAGUUGGAAACGACUGCUAAUACCGCAUGACACAUAGAGAUCGCAUGGUUUUUAUGUCAAAGAUUUAUCGCUGAAAGAUGGCCUCGCGUCUGAUUAGCUAGUUGGUGAGGUAACGGCCCACCAAGGCGACGAUCAGUAGCCGGACUGAGAGGUUGACCGGCCACAUUGGGACUGAGAUACGGCCCAGACUCCUACGGGAGGCAGCAGUGGGGAAUAUUGGGCAAUGGGCGCAAGCCUGACCCAGCAACGCCGCGUGAAGGAAGAAGGCUUUCGGGUUGUAAACUUCUUUUGUCGGGGACGAGUAGAAGACGGUACCUGGCGAAUAAGCCACGGCUAACUACGUGCCAGCAGCCGCGGUAAUACGUAGGUGGCAAGCGUUGUCCGGAUUUACUGGGUGUAAAGGGCGUGUAGCCGG